ACGAGACGGGAUGGAAUGACCCUUCGGGGGAAUGAAAUCCUAGAAAGUGGCGAACGGGUGAGUAACGCGUGGGUAACCUGCCCUAUGGAAAGGAAUAGCCUCGGGAAACUGGGAGUAAUGCCUUAUAAUAUACGAGAGUCGCAUGGCUUUUGUAUUAAACGCUCCGGUGCCAUAGGAUGGACCCGCGUCCCAUUAGCUAGUUGGUGAGAUAACAGCCCACCAAGGCAACGAUGGGUAACCGGUCUGAGAGGGCGAACGGUCACACUGGAACUGAGACACGGUCCAGACUCCUACGGGAGGCAGCAGUGGGGAAUAUUGCGCAAUGGGGGCAACCCUGACGCAGCAAUACCGCGUGAGUGAAGAAGGUUUUCGGAUCGUAAAGCUCUGUUAUUGGGGAAGAAAAAAGACGGUACCCAAGAAGAAAGUCCCGGCUAACUACGUGCCAGCAGCCGCGGUAAUACGUAGGGGACAAGCGUUGUCCGGAUUUACUGGGCGUAAAGGGCACGCAGGCGGUUUUUUAAGUCAGAUGUGAAAGGUACCGGCUCAACCGGUGACAUGCAUUUGAAACUGAAAGACUUGAGUAUUGGAGAGGCAAGUGGAAUUCCUAGUGUAGCGGUGAAAUGCGUAGAUAUUAGGAGGAACACCGGUGGCGAAGGCGGCUUGCUGGACAAAUACUGACGCUGAGGUGCGAAAGCGUGGGGAGCA
rnacentral:rRNA from 1 species